UACGUAGGUGACAAGCGUUGUCCGGAUUUACUGGGCGUAAAGAGCGCGCAGGCGGUCGAUCAAGUCGAGUGUGAAAGCCCCCGGCUCAACUGGGGAGGGUCAUUCGAUACUGAUCGACUCGAAGGCAGGAGAGGGUAGUGGAAUUCCCGGUGUAGCGGUAAUAUGCGUAGAUAUCGGGAGGAACACCAGUGGCGAAGGCGGCUCUCUGGGGUAUUUCUGACGCUGAGGCACGAAAGCCAGGGGAGCGAACGGG
rnacentral:rRNA from 1 species